rnacentral:rRNA from 1 species
CCUACGGGAGGCUGCAGUCGAGAAUCAUUCACAAUGGGGGAAACCCUGAUGGUGCGACGCCGCGUGGGGGAAUGAAGGUCUUCGGAUUGUAAACCCCUGUCAUGUGGGAGCAAAUUAAAAAGAUAGUACCACAAGAGGAAGAGACGGCUAACUCUGUGACAGCAGCCGCGGUAAUACAGAGGGCUCAAGCGUUGGUCGGAAUCACUGGGCGUAAAGCGUGCGUAGGCGGUUGUGUAAGUCGUGGGUGAAAGGUGCGGGCUCAACCCGCGGACGGCACAUGAUACUGCGAGACUAGAGUAAUGGAGUGGGAACCGGAAUUCUCGGUGUAGCAGUGAAAUGCGUAGAUAUCGAGAGGAACACUCGUGGCGAAGGCGGGUUCCUGGACAUUAACUGACGCUGAGGCACGAAGGCCAGGGGAGCGAAAGGGAUUAGAUACCCUUGUAGUC